rnacentral:rRNA from 1 species
UAUUGGUCAAUAGCCUAACGGCUGAACCAGCAACUUGGAGGAAUGUAUAGGGAAAACUGGUAAAAUGUGAUGUACCUAGUAGUAUUAGAAAUUAAAUAUGAGAUUAACUAAGUUAAUUAAAAUUCUAAGUAGAUAUGUGAUUAUGACAAUAUCUGCAUAGGUCUUGACCAAGUCACGUGCCAGCAGUCGCGGUAAUACGUGGAAGACGAGUGUUAUUCAUCUUUAUUGGGUUUAAAGGGUACCUAGACAGUUAAUUAAGCAAUUAUAUGUACUAAUUAACUAGAGUUUAAUGUAAGAAGGAUUGAGUACGGUGAGAGUAGAGAUAAAAUUUUUUGAUACCACUUAGGAACUGGUAACAGCGAAGGCUACCUUCAAAGUAAAAAACUGACGUUGAAGGACGAAGG